GACGAACGCUGGCGGCGUGCUUAACACAUGCAAGUCGAACGGAAGGGCCCUGCUUUUGUGGGGUGCUCGAGUGGCGAACGGGUGAGUAACACGUGAGUAACCUGCCCUUGACUUUGGGAUAACUUCAGGAAACUGGGGCUAAUACCGGAUAGGAGCUCCUGCUGCAUGGUGGGGGUUGGAAAGUUUCGGCGGUUGGGGAUGGACUCGCGGCUUAUCAGCUUGUUGGUGGGGUAGUGGCUUACCAAGGCUUUGACGGGUAGCCGGCCUGAGAGGGUGACCGGCCACAUUGGGACUGAGAUACGGCCCAGACUCCUACGGGAGGCAGCAGUGGGGAAUAUUGCACAAUGGGCGGAAGACUGAUGCAGCAACGCCGCGUGCGGGAUGACGGCCUUCGGGUUGUAAACCGCUUUCGCCUGUGACGAAGCGUGAGUGACGGUAAUGGGUAAAGAAGCACCGGCUAACUACGU
rnacentral:rRNA from 1 species